rnacentral:rRNA from 1 species
UACGGAGGGGGCUAGCGUUGUUCGGAAUUACUGGGCGUAAAGCGCACGUAGGCGGCUUUGUAAGUUAGAGGUGAAAGCCCGGGGCUCAACUCCGGAAUUGCCUUUAAGACUGCAUCGCUAGAAUUGUGGAGAGGUAAGUGGAAUUCCGAGUGUAGAGGUGAAAUUCGUAGAUAUUCGGAAGAACACCAGUGGCGAAGGCGACUUACUGGACACAUAUUGACGCUGAGGCACGAAGGCCAGGGGAGCAAACGGG